rnacentral:lncRNA from 1 species
AAAGCAAACCAAGGCAUGUUCUGCUGCAUGGAGAAGGGCUGCUGUUUUGAACUGGGUAGGAUGGUCAGUUUUCCUCCUUGUGCAAGAGUGAUUAACCAUUGAUCAGAAUGUAAGCUCCACCGGGAGCAGGGACUAUACUGUGUGUAUCUUUGUAUGACUCACUGUGUCUAGCACGAGGAUGGCAAAUGUCUGGAAUGGUCAAUAUUUUCAAUAAAUAUUAAAUGACUUGGCUGAAGUUUUGUUUUUCUUCUGCCCACCUGAGGCUGAGGCAGUAGAAUCAGGAGUUUGGUAUUCAGUGACUUUUGUUUUUUUUUAACCUCAGAUCUAUUUCAUGAUGUCUGUCUUCCCUUCUAGCUUGUAAGACAGUUAAAAACUCAUGAACUUUUUCCUGCUACUGGCACCAACUAAACAUUGUUCCCAAAGGUAACAUUGGUUGUGGCUCUUUACCGUCCUCCAUGGUUUCCAUUGGCAUGUCGUUCCAAGGCUAUGAGACUUGAACACAGCAGUACUUUCAAGGGUCACACUUUAGCCUUUGUCUCUUAGAGACUGGAAUGACCUCCUGUAUACCCCUGAUAAACAGUGAGGUUUGCUUUCUGCCCUAGUGUAGAUAGCCCUUGCCACUGACUUAAAAAGCCAAGCCACACGAGACAACACUUUCCCUUGGAAGGAGCAGUUUGGUUAACUGCUGGCUCUUGGUGGCGAUUUAGAAACGACAUUUUUAUUUCUCCUCCCCACCCCUCCUGAACAUUUCAGACUGACCAGUGGUUGGACUCUUGCCGGCGCUUACCCUGAACCUGAGUGUUAGGGGAGAGGGAAUCUGCCUCUGCGGUCUCUGGAGCUGCUCAUAAGCAAGAGUUCCCUAUCCUGAUCAAGGCUUUAAGCCUAAAAGAAAGCAGAAAUAGGUACGAACCAUUGGUGUGUGCGUGUAUGGGUGUGUGCAUGCCUGCUUGCAUAAGUGUGUAUAUUUGUGUGCCUGCGUGCACGGGCCCUACAUUUGUGUGUGAUGGCCCACAUUUCCACAUGACCGGGUGCUUACGUGUGUAUGUGUGUAUGUUCUGGAUGGGCGGGUGUGGCCUGGGAGGGGGUGGCAUACCUCUGAAGGUAUGGGGUCUGGGAUAGCUCAAUGUCUGCAUUCUCCUGCUUUGCAGGAGAGGGGUGGAAGUGGUAUUUGCUUUAACUACAAACAUUCUUGUUUCCAUCUUUUUUUUUUUUUCUAGAAGAAAAGAAUUUGGUAGUCAUCUGUCCAAUUUCAGGCAACAGAAGAGGUUUUUAUAUUUGACUCUUGAGUCCAAAUCUAACAACCCCAGAGUGUCACUGGAGUGGAGAGAAAUGCAGUUAUGGGCUAAGUUAAUUAGCCUUUUGGUGGUUGGUUUCCACUUUUCAAAAGAAUAUGGGUGGGAAUUGAGAGAGAGAGAGAGAGAGAGAACACUUCUAGGGAGGGCUUGGACUGUAGCUCAGAAGUAGCAUGUUUACCUAGCAUGCCUAAGACCCUGAGUUUCAUUUCAAACAGCACAAAACAAAUCCAUCAAUAAGAUAAUUACUUACCUG